GGUGGAGGAGGAAGGUCCAGGAAAGGGGAUGGAGAAGGUAGAAGGAACGAUGGAAACCUGGGUACAGAGAAAUGGAAGGUGCUGCUUCAUAAUGUAACAGUACGUGUACUUUGAGUAUCGAAGAUUGAUUGUAGACCAAGGCUUGCUCGCAGCCACAAAGGGAUCUGUAUUUAUAUAGCACUUAACAGUUUUUACAGCAACAUGUAUUCAUUAGCCAAGCCUUUAAAUCAGAGAGGUGACAAAUUAGGGCCUUUCAGAAUACAGUGUCCUAGAAAAAAAGAGCUGGGAUUUGGAAAGACCUGGGUUUGUUUCAGCUCACACAUUUUAGCUGGGUGAGUUUGGGUAAUUAAUGUAGCUUAAUCUGAGCCUCAACAUCCUGAUCUGUACAUUGGAAAGAAUGGCCCCAUUUCCUGCACAGGGUGGGUGUGUGGGAGGAGUUUGUGAAAGCUUUGUGACGAUAUUGUGAGUCAUUACUUCUAAAAUAGAAUGUUGGUGAGGAAGGUGGAUGCCCUCCCACCUGGCGUAGGCACCACUUGCAACUAUUAAAACGUGAGGCUGGCAACUGACCACCACUUGGGUAAGAAGUCAUUCCUUCAGCAAAAUACUGUAUGCAGGAAUAGCAUUUCUGUGAACUAAGAAAAUCAAGAAGAUGCUUGCAUAUGUUCUUAAAACUGUGGCUUUUCAAAAGCUAGAGUGAUCCUGUGGUUCCCAGGGAAAUGAGAUGGCCUGUUCCCCAGAUUAAAG
rnacentral:lncRNA from 1 species